AGUCAGCGUGUACACACAAACUAAUGGGAACGGUACUUGUAAGUAAUGCGCCGGAACAUUUCUCCAGAGUCUAUACUAUUGUGUCUGUGACAUUAAGUGUAAUUGUCCUUUCCUGUUUUAGUACUUGUCAAGACAAUAAGGACGGCGUGGGUCUCUGCUUUAUUUUAAUGAAUUGAAGGGAGGCGCUCUCCAUGCCAGCUGACCUGGGGGUCACGCUGCCAUACUUAUUUCAUGCGGGAGAAACAGACGAUGAAGGCACCGACGUGGAUCAGAACAUCCUCGAUGCCCUUUUGUUCAACACCACACGC